rnacentral:rRNA from 1 species
UGGCCAGACUCCUACGGGAGGCAGCAGUGGGGGAUAUUGCACAAUGGGGGAAACCCUGAUGCAGCGACGCCGCGUAGGCGAAGAAGUAUUUCGGUAUGUAAAGCCCUAUCAGCAGGGAAGAAGAAAUGACGGUACCUGAGUAAGAAGCAUCGGCUAACUCCGUGCCAGCAGCCGCGGUAAUACGUAGGGGGCAAGCGUUAUCCGGAUUCACUGGGCGUAAAGGGAGCGCAGGCGGCACGGCAAGUCUGAUGUGAAAACCCAGGGCUCAACCCUGGGACUGCAUUGGAAACUGCCGGGCUGGAGUGUCGGAGGGGUAAGCGGAAUUCCUAGUGUAGCGGUGAAAUGCGUAGAUAUUAGGAGGAACACCAGUGGCGAAGGCGGCUUACUGGACGACUACUGACGCUGAGGCUCGAAAGCGUGGGGAGCAAACAGGAUUAGAUACCCGCGUAGA